ACACAGGCUUGGGUUGGAAUUCACUAAGACAAACUAUUGAUGCACCAAGUGAGUGGUGGGAAGAGAAUUUAAAGGUUAAGCCUGAGGCAGCAAAAUUUAGAGCAAAGGGGUUGCAAAAUGCAUACCAAUUAGAUAUUCUUUUUAAAGAUAUUGCAGUUACGGGAGAUGGCACCAUCUCAAGGAUUUGUACCUUUAACUACUGAAGACAAUUCAUUUAGACAUGUAGGAGAAAAUGAUGAUACAUUUGAGGAUAUGAAGCAUAAUAAUACUAAUGAUACGAAAUAUUCAAUACAUACUGCUGAGGAUAAUACUCAAGGAAAAGUGUAAAAAAAAGAAAAAGAAUAGGAUCAAAAAGGUAAUGUUGCAAAUAAACUUUGUGAUCAGUUGGAACGUGUGUGUGGAUCAAUAGAUAAUAGGAGAAGAGAUCUUCUAGGUUGUAGUAUUUUUGAAGUGAUGAAUGUCUUAUGAGACAUACUUGGAAUUAUAAAAGGUGAUGAGCUUUUCAUGAAAGCUGCAGAUAUCUUUACAAAAAGGAAAAAUAGAGAAAUGUUUGUAGUGCUACAAGAGCCUAAGAUUCAAGUUGUAUGGUUGAAGCAAAAGAAAGUUUGACAACCUUAGAUUAUAGAAAAUGUUUGCUUGUAGAC